AUCACUCCAGUUCCUAUAUGAUCACAAAAGUUAAGCAAUGUCAAGCCUGGUCAGUACCUAGAUGGGUGACCACUUGAGUAUAACAGGUGUUG